UACGGAGGGGGCUAGCGUUGUCCGAAGUUACUGGGCGUAAAGCGCGCGUAGGCGGGUUGGUAAGUCCGCUGUGAAAGCCCGGAGCUCAACUCCGGAGGGUCGGUGGAUACUGCCAGUCUUGAAGGUGCUAGGGGGAGAUGGAAUUACCGGUGUAGCGGUGAAAUACGUAGAUAUCGGUAGGAACACCAGUGGCGAAGGCGACUUUCUGGCUUAUAACUGACGCUGAGGCGCGAAAGCGUGGGGAGCAAACAGG
rnacentral:rRNA from 1 species